AAGGCACAGAGAAAUGCAUUGAAAAUAAAUUGUAUUAAUUCCUUAAUUCCAAAAUGUCAUACAAUACAAUGUAGAAAAAGAAAGGAAAAGAAAUGAAUGGUUGGAAGCAAAAUUUGCUUUCAGCAGAUGUGCGUCAAGGUUGCCGGUGGUGCCAUGGAUGGGUGGAGGAGCUGACUCUUUUUCGAGAUCUAACUCCGGUCGAAGGCUCCGAUUGUCACUCGGAAUGGAUGAAUGAGGUGAACUCUCACCUGUCUUCCCACGCAUUUGUCUGGAUUGCAAGGAUCCGCCAUAUGCGAACCUCAAGCGAGAACCUUGGAUAAAAUGAAUUUCAGCUCAUCGGCUUCUAUUUAUAAAGCCUGGGUCGCCGACAGCAUUAAUUGGACUGCUCUGAGUCUGACGUUAAAUACGUUUGUCUUUUCUGAACCUCUGCCACUAACGGCAUGGUAGGUGAAAUGUCAACAUCAUCUUUGGAUUUUCUCAAGGUAGAUGCGUUGAUGCGUUCAUUCCACCUACUUUGCGUUGAUCCCAUUAGUUGCGUUGUCCCGCAGCUGCAAACAUUCAAUGACCGCAUUCGCUUAAUACCGCAACUCUACACGAUGACUGCAUUCAUUUGACGAGCACAACUCCCAUGCGAUGGACACAUACGACUGAUUAGCGUAACAUCCAUGGGUUGAUCGAUGUGUUUGUCUUUGUGAUGGAGUGUUUCGCCGCAUGCGGUCAUCUAUGUGGUGGUUCGGUUUCCGUGUUUGCAUUCAUUUUCUGCAUUAGCUACAAAGAUAGAACAUUGAACGCAUAAUUAACGCAAAAUAGCGAGUUAGCUGAGAUUCGACAUGCUGAUCGAUGUAAGCUCAUAUUCUUGUGAAUUCUUAUCAUGAUCGACGCAUAUUCUUCCUAACAACCUUCUUAAUUCUAAGUAAAAUGCCUAAGAUGACAUGCAUUUUUGCAUGUCAUCAAUGAGUAAAUUUUUGUUAUCUAUUUAUGUGGGAAUCUUGAAGAAUUAGUUGUAAGAGGAAACAUGUUGAUAAAUUUACACCUCCAACUCAAGUAAAGAAGAAAAAUGUGGUUAAGCAUCCUCUCCUAGGUGUAGCUACGUCACUAUUCAAAGUAAUUUUCGCAUAGAACGUAGCACAUGAUGUUCCACACAAUAUCGUUACAGAAAUGAUGGGCUAGAUGUCGGACGAGAAUACUGACAACGAGGUUCGAGAGAACUUCUUUAAACCACUCACCAAGCAAUUCUUCAAGAAAUUGAUUUCCCCGAGUUUGUGGGUUGAGUGCGAUAACAUAAAUACUUUAUUUUACUUUAUGAAAGAAAAAUUUAUACCCGGACUAACAUGUGCAUGCACAAGUUCACCAUCUUGCCAAUUGAUGUAACGAGACACCUUAACGCUCAUUGCGGGGUAUUUAAACGAAUAAAGAAUAAGACAUUUCUGGAGGCUGCCCUAGCAUGGUAGGAUGAAGACACGUAUAAGUACUAUGUCACCGGUAAAUUCGAUGUCAAAUGGGCAAAUGUGGAUUUCAUUUAUACGACAAUGAAUAUCAGUGAGCAUUGGAUGGUCCUUGCAAUGGACAUUAACAGAGGCCACAAUGACAAAGCUGGUGAACUGGCUAGAGCCAUUGACUGUCACAGUACCAUCCCUACUUCACGAUUGUGACGUGGAUCGUUCAAAGUCGAACCUAUCCAUAGUCCGUUGGAAAAUCUCAUGACCUAUGAACAUCGACAUACAGCACAGGCCGCUUGAUUGUGGCAUCUUUGCAAUAAAAUUACUAGAACACUUGGUGACUAGUGUUGAUUCGUCCGUAAUCACUUAGGAGAAGAUGAGUGAAUAUAGGAUGCAGUUAGCACGUCAACUAUGGGCGAACACUCCAUAUUUUUUAUGUGUAUACAACAUGUAUUUUUUUAUGUAUGUAAAACAUGUAUUUUUUAUGUAUGUAAAACAUGUAUAAUUGAGCUACUGCUCUUUUCAUUGUAUCAUUGUAUCAAUGGUAUACAUGUAUAAUUGAACAUGUAUUUUUUAUGUAAGUUUAAUGUUCAAAGUUUAAUAUUAUACAUUUUAUCAAAACAUGUAUAAUUGAGCUACU